rnacentral:rRNA from 1 species
GAUGAACGCUGGCGGCGUGCCUAAUACAUGCCAGUCGAGCGAACAGACGAGGAGCUUGCUCCUCUGACGUUAGCGGCGGACGGGUGAGUAACACGUGGAUAACCUACCUAUAAGACUGGGAUAACUUCGGGAAACCGGAGCUAAUACCGGAUAAUAUAUUGAACCGCAUUGUUCAAUAGUGAAAGACGGUUUUGCUGUCACUUAUAGAUGGAUCCGCGCCGCAUUAGCUAGUUGGUAAGGUAACGGCUUACCAAGGCAACGAGGCGUAGCCGACCUGAGCGGGUGAUCGGCCACACUGGAACUGAGACACGGUACAGACUCCUACGGGAGGCAGCAGUAGGGAAUCUUCCGCAAUGGGCGAAAGCGUGACGGAGCAACGCCGCGUGAGUGAUGAAGGUCUUCGGAUCGUAAAACUCUGUUAUUAGGGAAGAACAAAUGUGUAAGUAACUAUGCACGUCUUGACGGUACCUAAUCAGAAAGCCACGGCUAACUACGUG